CCCCGUACACAAAAGCGCAUGUGCUGUGAGCUCGAUGAGUAGGGCGGGACACGUGGUAUCCUGUCUGAAUAUGGGGGGACCAUCCUCCAAGGCUAAAUACUCCUGACUGACCGAUAGUGAACCAGUACCGUGAGGGAAAGGCGAAAAGAACCCCGGCGAGGGGAGUGAAAAAGAACCUGAAACCGUGUACGUACAAGCAGUGGGAGCACCCUUUGGGGUGUGACUGCGUACCUUUUGUAUAAUGGGUCAGCGACUUAUAUUCUGUAGCAAGGUUAACCGAAUAGGGGAGCCGGAGGGAAACCGAGUCUUAAUUGGGCGUUAAGUUGCAGGGUAUAGACCCGAAACCCGGUGAUCUAGCCAUGGGCAGGUUGAAGGUUGGGUAACACUAACUGGAGGACCGAACCGACUAAUGUUGAAAAAUUAGCGGAUGACCUGUGGCUGGGGGUGAAAGGCCAAUCAAACCGGGAGAUAGCUGGUUCUCCCCGAAAGCUAUUUAGGUAGCGCCUCGUGAAUUCAUCUCCGGGGGUAGAGCACUGUUUCGGCUAGGGGGCCAUCCCGGCUUACCAACCCGAUGCAAACUGCGAAUACCGGAGAAUGUUAUCACGGGAGACACACGGCGGGUGCUAACGUCCGUCGUGAAGAGGGAAACAACCCAGACCGCCAGCUAAGGUCCCAAAGUCAUGGUUAAGUGGGAAACGAUGUGGGAAGGCCCAGACAGCCAGGAUGUUGGCUUAGAAGCAGCCAUCAUUUAAAGAAAGCGUAAUAGCUCACUGGUCGAGUCGGCCUGCGCGGAAGAUGUAACGGGGCUAAACCAUGCAC
rnacentral:rRNA from 1 species